GUAGGUAUAAUUUAAAUAAAAUACUAGAUUGUGAUUCUAAAAAUAGAAGUUAAAUUCUUCUUACCCACC
rnacentral:tRNA from 1 species